rnacentral:rRNA from 1 species
ACGCUCGACACCUACGGGAGGCAGCAGUGAGGAAUAUUGGUCAAUGGACGCAAGUCUGAACCAGCCAUGCCGCGUGCAGGAUGGCGGCUCUAUGAGUUGUAAACUGCUUUUGUACGAGGGUAAACGCAGAUACGUGUAUCUGUCUGAAAGUAUCGUACGAAUAAGGAUCGGCUAACUCCGUGUCAGCAGCCGCGGUAAUCUGAGCGGGCUGGCAAGGC